UCCAGAAAAGUCUGGAGACUCCCCCUCUCUCUUUCAUUUUCUCGACCUCCCUCACACUCCGUCCUCCCUCUCUUCUCACCGUCCCUCUCUUCACCUUCGACAUUUCUCUCUCCCUCCAGCCCUGUUCUGCUCCGUCACAUCACCAACACGCCACCGUGCUCCGUCCUACCUCGCCGGCGCGUUUCUGAAGGUGGGUGUUGUUUGUGUUGAAUUGUCCUUCCACCUUCCUUGCCUCCCUUGGUGUUUCGCGUCGCCGCCGCCAACGACGGUGAAAUUCGGGGAUUCACUUCCUUGUUACAUUAUUCGAUUGCCACCACCGCAGGGACCGUGGUUGGCUGUUAACCGGCGACGUGAGGUCGCUGUGUCAAGUGGUUGUUGUUGAUUGAUGUUGUUGUCGAGUGUUGUUACUGCUCCUCUGCCUCACUCCUUCCUCCCUAAGACCUUAGGUUAUUUGAUGGAGAACGAAUAAGGGGAAUCGAAUCAUGAAGUUAAGCGAAGAAUGAUGAUUGAAUAGGUAACUUAGGAUUUAUGAAUGGUUAUUGAAGAGUUGAGAUAUUUUGCAGGUAGCAAGAAUCGAGUCUCAGUUCAGGUUCAAGGUGCGUAGAGUUCUCCAGGGGCCUUCUAUGUCCAAGGUUGGAUUAUAGAUUCGCCAAAUGUAAUUAAGUUUUCUAGGGUUUGUUAAUGGGCUGUAUAAUUUCUUCUUAAAGCUUUUGGUUUAUAAUUAUGAAUUAUAUAUUCGUGUUAGAGUUGUAUUUAAGUUAAGCUUGUUGGCUGAAGGUUAAGUGUGCCUAGAAAUAACUCAUUAAGUAUGGAAUGUUAAUGUUACCCUGGUGAUCUUUUGGGAAA